GGUGAAAUGGGUGAAUAUCAGACAGCUUAUUACAGAGACAAGCAUGCUGCACUCCCAAACUAGGAUGACAGAACAAGUCAUGAUCUUGUAUAGAAGGAAAAUGAGAUCCCUGGUGAAGCCUACAGUGUCAUUGACUCUGAAGAAGGACUCAGAGACCCAUUGGUGUUUAAUGACCCUUAUUGGCCUCCACAAAAGAAACUGGGCUGCUCGGCAGUGCUGAUGGCAGGAUAUUUCAUGCUUGAUGUGGACGGAAGACUGAUUGUGCAAUAUCCGUGACAGUUACUAACAAGGUGAAAGCUGACUGUAUACACUAGCAGUGCUGGUGGUGUGUGAACACUGAUGGAAAUCUGUCUUUCUACUCCACUUAUGAGCUAGGAAUGAGAGAGGGAUGCCCAGCAGAGGCUAGGAGUUGCUGCUCCCAAGACUAAUCCAAAAUUCGAAAUGCUUGUGAGGAAACAUCAGCAUUUUCUCAUAGGGUCAUAGGUCAAGAGCAGGGGUGUGCUCAGAUUCAGUGUAGGACUUCUGAGAACUUUGUCUUCAGAUUUUAUUAAGGUUUCCUUCUUUAUUUGGACUUUAUUGAGAAAACUCUAGUGAAAAUUCUGAAACUGCUGAGGUACAUCUAAACUAAAGAGAAGGGGCCUGUUGAUUAACAGCA